GAUGAACGCUGGCGGCGUGCCUAAUACAUGCAAGUCGAGCGAACGGACGAGAAGCUUGCUUCUCUGAUGUUAGCGGCGGACGGGUGAGUAAAACGUGGAUAACCUACCUAUAAGACUGGGAUAACUUCGGGAAACCGGAGCUAAUACCGGAUAAUAUUUUGACCCGCAUGGUUCAAAAGUGAAAGACGGUCUUGCUGUCACUUAUAGAUGGAUCCGCGCUGCAUUAGCUAGUUGGUAAGGUAACGGCUUACCAAGGCAACGAUGCAUAGCCGACCUGAGAGGGUGAUCGGCCACACUGGAACUGAGACACGGUCCAGACUCCUACGGGAGGCAGCAGUAGGGAAUCUUCCGCAAUGGGCGAAAGCCUGACGGAGCAACGCCGCGUGAGUGAUGAAGGUCUUCGGAUCGUAAAACUCUGUUAUUAGGGAAGAACAUAUGUGUAAGUAACUGUGCACGUCUUGACGGUACCUAAUCAGAAAGCCACGGCUAACUACGUG
rnacentral:rRNA from 1 species